AGUGGCGAACGGGUGAGUAAUGCAUCGGAACGUGCCCAGUCGUGGGGGAUAACGCAGCGAAAGCUGUGCUAAUACCGCAUACGAUCUAUGGAUGAAAGCGGGGGACCGUAAGGCCUCGCGCGAUUGGAGCGGCCGAUGUCAGAUUAGGUAGUUGGUGGGGUAAAGGCUCACCAAGCCGACGAUCUGUAGCUGGUCUGAGAGGACGACCAGCCACACUGGGACUGGGACACGGCCCAGACUCCUACGGGAGGCAGCAGUGGGGAAUUUUGGACAAUGGGCGCAAGCCUGAUCCAGCAAUGCCGCGUGCAGGAAGAAGGCCUUCGGGUUGUAAACUGCUUUUGUACGGAACGAAACGGUCUGGGUUAAUACCCUGGGCUAAUGACGGUACCGUAAGAAUAAGCACCGGCUAACUACGUGCCAGCAGCCGCGGUAAUACGUAGGGUGCAAGCGUUAAUCGGAAUUACUGGGCGUAAAGCGUGCGCAGGCGGUUUUGUAAGACAGGCGUGAAAUCCCCGGGCUCAACCUGGGAAUUGCGCUUGUGACUGCAAAGCUGGAGUGCGGCAGAGGGGGAUGGAAUUCCGCGUGUAGCAGUGAAAUGCGUAGAUAUGCGGAGGAACACCGAUGGCGAAGGCAAUCCCCUGGGCCUGCACUGACGCUCAUGCACGAAAGCGUGGGGAGCAAACAGGAUUAGAUACCCUGG
rnacentral:rRNA from 1 species